UCGCUCAACGGAUAAAAGGUACUCCGGGGAUAACAGGCUGAUACCGCCCAAGAGUUCAUAUCGACGGCGGUGUUUGGCACCUCGAUGUCGGCUCAUCACAUCCUGGGGCUGAAGUCGGUCCCAAGGGUAUGGCUGUUCGCCAUUUAAAGUGGUACGCGAGCUGGGUUCAGAACGUCGUGAGACAGUUCGGUCCCUAUCUGCCGUGGGCGUUGGAUGAUUGAAGGGAGCUGCUCCUAGUACGAGAGGACCGGAGUGGACGAACCGCUGGUGUUCGGGUUGUCAUGCCAAUGGCAUUGCCCGGUAGCUACGUUCGGAAUCGAUAACCGCUGAAAGCAUCUAAG
rnacentral:rRNA from 1 species